UAGAUAGUUGUGGGAGAGUGCAAGUUUACACGCCACCGAAGGAGCAAGUUCCAAAAAGACCCUUGGAACAAAUCUCUCAGGUAGAUGGAACCACAAUUGGACG
rfam:Bacillus bataviensis LMG 21833 contig35, whole genome shotgun sequence.